AACGAACGCUGGCGGCAUGCCUAACACAUGCAAGUCGAACGAGACCUUCGGGUCUAGUGGCGCACGGGUGCGUAACGCGUGGGAACCUGCCCUUAGGUUCGGAAUACCUCCCCGAAAGGGGUGCUAAUACCGGAUAAUGUCUUCGGACCAAAGAUUUAUCGCCUUUGGAUGGGCCCGCGUUGGUUUAGCUAGUUGGUAGGGUAAUAGCCUACCAAGGCGACGAUCCAUAGCUGGUCGGAGAGGAUGAUCAGCCACACUGGGACUGAGACACGGCCCAGACUCCUACGGGAGGGAGCAGUGGGGAAUAUUGGACAAGGGGCGAAAGCCUGAUCCAGCAAUGCCGCGUGAGUGAUGAAGGCCUUAGGGUUGUAAAGCUCUUUUACCCGAGAUGAUAAUGACAGUACCGGGUGAAUAAGCACCGGCUAACUCCGUG
rnacentral:rRNA from 1 species